rnacentral:rRNA from 1 species
CCUACGGGAGGCAGCAGUUGGGAAUCUUGCACAAUGGGGGAAACCCUGAUGCAGCGACGCCGCGUGGAGGAUGACGGCCUUAGGGUUGUAAACUCCUUUUUCAGGGAAAGACUUAGGACGGUACCCUGAGAAUAAGCUCCGGCUAACUACGUGCCAGCAGCCGCGGUAAGACGUAGGGAGCAAGCGUUAUCCGGAUUUACUGGGCGUAAAGCGCACGUAGGCGGCCUAUUAAGUGAAUGGUGAAAUCUCCAGCGCUCAACGCGGAAAUUGCCACUCAUACUGGUAGGCUAGAGGAAUGCAGAGGUAAUUGGAAUUCCCGGUGUAGCGGUGACAUGCAUAUAUAUCGGGAGGAACACCAACAGCGAAGGCAGAUUACUGGGCAUUUCCUGACGCUGAGGUGCGAAAGCGUGGGUAGCAAACAGAAUUAGAUACUCUGGUAGUCCACGCCCUAAACGAUGGAUACUAAUCACGAAUUCUGGAUCCGAUACGUAACGCGUCUGCGCAUGCGUGUACCGAGCUUUCCCUAUAUGA